UACGUAGGGGGCAAGCGUUGUCCGGAUUUAUUGGGCGUAAAGAGCGUGUAGGCGGCCUUGCAAGUCCGUUGUGAAAACUCGAGGCUCAACCUCGAGACGCCGGUGGAAACUGCAAAGCUAGAGUCCGGAAGAGGAGAGUGGAAUUCCUGGUGUAGCGGUGAAAUGCGCAGAUAUCAGGAGGAACACCGAUGGCGAAGGCAGGUCUCUGGGCUGAAACUGACGCUCAUGCACGAAAGCGUGGGGAGCAAACAGG
rnacentral:rRNA from 1 species